UGGGGAAUAUUGCACAAUGGGCGCAAGCCUGAUGCAGCCAUGCCGCGUGUAUGAAGAAGGCCUUCGGGUUGUAAAGUACUUUCAGCGGGGAGGAAGGUGUUGUGGUUAAUAACCGCAGCAAUUGACGUUACCCGCAGAAGAAGCACCGGCUAACUCCGUGCCAGCAGCCGCGGUAAUACGGAGGGUGCAAUCGUUAAUCGGAAUUACUGGGCGUAAAGCGCACGCAGGCGGUCUGUCAAGUCGGAUGUGAAAUCCCCGGGCUCAACCUGGGAACUGCAUUCGAAACUGGCAGGCUAGAGUCUUGUAGAGGGGGGUAGAAUUCCAGGUGUAGCGGUGAAAUGCGUAGAGAUCUGGAGGAAUACCGGUGGCGAAGGCGGCCCCCUGGACAAAGACUGACGCUCAGGUGCGAAAGCGUGGGGAGCAAACA
rnacentral:rRNA from 1 species